rnacentral:rRNA from 1 species
UACGUAGGGGGGCAAGCGUUGUCCGGAAUUAUUGGGCGUAAAGAGCGCGUAGGCGGUCCGGUAAGUCGGUUGUGAAAGUCGGGGGCUCAACCCUCGGAUGCCGAUCGAUACUGUCGGGCUAGAGUCCGGAAGAGGCGAGUGGAAUUCCUGGUGUAGCGGUGGAAUGCGCAGAUAUCAGGAGGAACACCGAUGGCGAAGGCAGCUCGCUGGGACGGUACUGACGCUGAGGCGCGAAAGCGUGGGGAGCGAACAGG